AGGAUAAACGCUGGCGGCGUGCCUAACACAUGCAAGUCGAACGUCCUACGCAAGUAGGGAGUGGCGGACGGGUGAGUAACACGUGGGCAAUCUACCUUUCGGUGAGGAAUACCGGCGAGAAAUCGCCGACAAUACCGCAUACGCUUCGCAAGAAGCAAAGUCGCAAGACGCCGGAGGAGGAGCCUGCGCCCGAUUAGCUGGUUGGUGAGGUAAGAGCUCACCAAGGCGACGAUCGGUAGCUGGUCUGAGAGGAUGAUCAGCCACACUGGGAUUGAGAACGGCCCAGACUCCUACGGGGGGCAGCAGUGAGGAAUUUUCGGCAAUGGGGGCAACCCUGACCGAGCAACGCCGCGUGCAGGAGGAAGGUCUUCGGAUCGUAAACUGCUUUUCUGUGGGAGAGAACGGACGGUACCACAGGAAGAAGCCCCGGCUAACUACGUGCCAGCAGCCGC
rnacentral:rRNA from 1 species